rnacentral:rRNA from 1 species
UACGAAGGGGGCGAGCGUUGUUCGGAUUUACUGGGCGUAAAGGGCGCGUAGGCGGCCCUCCUAGUCGCGUGUGAAAGCCCCGGGCUCAACCUGGGAAUUGCGCGCGAAACGGGGGGGCUUGAGUUCGGGAGAGGAGCGUGGAAUUCCCAGUGUAGAGGUGAAAUUCGUAGAUAUUGGGAAGAACACCGGGUGGCGAAGGCGGCUACCUGGACCGGGUUCUG